UUCAGCAAACAACCCCGCACGAGUCAGUUGGAAGUCAGUGUGUUGCUUUGCUCAUACUUUAAAUCUGGCCGUCAAUGACGGAUUCGCUGCUGCUGGUGUCAACCGAGUAAUUGGAGCUGCUGGCAGGCUGGUCAAGCACUUCAAUCACAGCACACCAGCAACGAAAGCGCUAGAAGCAAAACAAAGACAAAUGCAGCUACCAGCUCAUCGGCUCAUUCAGUCCUGUAAGACCAGGUGGAACUCUGUACAUGCGAUGUUUGGCAGACUCGUAGAACAGCGAUGGGCCGUGUGUGCUGUGCUAUCAGACCGCUCAGAGACCAAGCUUUCAGAUGCGAGGACGCUGGAGUUGAGAGACGACUUCUGGCAGCUUAUGGAGGACAUAGCGCCAGCACUAGAGGCUCUCCAAUGUGCUACUACUGUAAUGUCAGCAGAGGCGGAGGUAUCCAUAUCCAACACGUACCCCAUCACAUUUAGUCUGAUUAACACGCAUCUCAAGAUGGCAAAUGGAGACAGCAACAGAGUGGCGGAAUUCAAAUCUAAAGUGCGCACUUCGUUGGGGGAACGGAUGAAGGUUGAGUCUGAAGACCUCACAUCAACAACACCAAUGAUAGCAACGAUGCUGGACCCACGGCAUAAGCACCUGGGAUUUCUAAGCCCAGCAAGCAGGAUCUCAGCUAAUACCAAACUGCUUGAACUGGCUAUGGAAGAACAUGUGGACUCCACAUCAACAAAUGAAGCCACCACUGGAGAUGAUGUGCCAGUCCAGGGAGCUACACUUCAGAGACACACUUCUGCUAUGACUCUUCUACUGGGUGAAAACUAUACCACCAGCAGCAACGAUGACAUUAAAGAGGAAGUGGACAUGUUUCUGAAGGAUGCCUCACCACUCCUUGAUUCCAGUCCCACAGAAUGGUGGAAAGUCAAUGAAGGAAGAUUUCCGAGGCUGGCAAAUGUGGCACGACGAUAUCUGUGCAUACCGGGCACGUCUGUCCCAUCAGAACGUGUAUUCUCAGCAGCUGGCCUGACUGUAAACAGGCUGCGCACACGACUUACUCCUGACCACGUUAAUAUGCUUAUUUUCUUGAACAAAAAUAGAGGGGUCUAGGUCAGGAGCCUAUUCAAAACACAUUGAGACAGGAAUGUUUUUGUUUCAGGAGAGGUAGCCUAUAUCUUCAUUUGACUGUUCUAAGGGUCGCCCUCUAAUGUUACUGUCACCUUCCUCAGGGAUGAUUUAAGUUGUGUUCAGAAUAUAUUUGAAGUUUCCAGGGCUAGUUAUCUUACUGUUACCUUUCUCAGACCAAAGGGGAUUAUAAAUGCUGCUAAUGUUUCAAGUUUUACAUAUGUAGUUAACCAGAUUAUAAUGUGUAGGCUUAAUAUUGUGUAGGCUAGGCCUACCCAUAUUGUUUAGAUUUCUAUUUAAAAUUAAUUUUAUUUUGCUUAAUGUUUCACAUGCGACAGGUGAGCCAGUGCACAAUUAUUUUGUUAUGUAUUUUAAUUUUCUGUGCUUAAUGUAUUUUGUUAAACUACAUAAAUGCCAUUAUCUGCACAUUAUCCUAACUGGUACAAUAAAACAUCAAUUGUGCAAUAUA